rnacentral:rRNA from 1 species
CGUGGAGACAGGUGGUGCAUGGCUGUCGUCAGCUCGUGUCGUGAGAUGUUGGGUUAAGUCCCGCAACGAGCGCAACCCUCACCCCUAGUUGCCACCGGGUUAAGCCGAGCACUCGAGGGGAACUGCCAGCGUCAAGCUGGAGGAAGGCGGGGAUGACGUCAAGUCAUCAUGCCCCUUACGCCCUGGGCUACACACGUGCCACAAUGGCCAGUACAAAGGGACGCGAGACUGCGAAGUGGAGCUAAUCCCAAAAAGCUGGUCUAAGUUCAGAUUGCAGUCUGCAACUCGACUGCAUGAAGGAGGAAUCGCUAGUAAUCGCGUAUCAGCCCGGCGCGGUGAAUACGUUCCCGGGCCUUGUACACACCGCCCGUCACACCACGAAAGCUGUCUGUACUCGAAGUCGCUGAG